rnacentral:rRNA from 1 species
CAGAGUUUGAUCCUGGCUCAGGACGAACGCUGGCGGCGUGCUUAACACAUGCAAGUCGAGCGGAAAGGCCCUUCGGGGUACUCGAGCGGCGAACGGGUGAGUAACACGUGAGCAACCUGCCCCAGGCUUUGGGAUAACCCCGGGAAACCGGGGCUAAUACCGAAUAUGACCUUGCACCGCAUGGUGUUUGGUGGAAAGUUUUUCGGCUUGGGAUGGGCUCGCGGCCUAUCAGCUUGUUGGUGGGGUGAUGGCCUACCAAGGCGACGACGGGUAGCCGGCCUGAGAGGGCGACCGGCCACACUGGGACUGAGACACGGCCCAGACUCCUACGGGAGGCAGCAGUGGGGAAUAUUGCACAAUGGGCGGAAGCCUGAUGCAGCGACGCCGCGUGAGGGAUGACGGCCUUCGGGUUGUAAACCUCUUUCAGCGGGGACGAAGCGUAAGUGACGGUACCUGCAGAAGAAGCGCCGGCCAACUACGUGCCAGCAGCCGCGGUAAGACGUAGGGCGCGAGCGUUGUCCGGAUUUAUUGGGCGUA